GGUGAGAUAGCAAAGUGGUAAUGCUGUGGCCUGCAAAGCCAUUAUCGUUGGUUCGAUUCCAGCUCUCACCUCCA
rnacentral:tRNA from 1 species